rnacentral:rRNA from 1 species
GAUGAACGCUGGCGGCGUGCCUAAUACAUGCAAGUCGAGCGAAUGGAUUAAGAGCUUGCUCUUAUGAAGUUAGCGGCGGACGGGUGAGUAACACGUGGGUAACCUGCCCACAAGACUGGGAUAACUCCGGGAAACCGGGGCUAAUACCGGAUAACAUUUUGAACCGCAUGGUUCGAAAUUGAAAGGCGGCUUCGGCUGUCACUUAUGGAUGGACCCGCGUCGCAUUAGCUAGUUGGUGAGGUAACGGCUCACCAAGGCAACGAUGCGCAGCCGACCUGAGAGGGUGAUCGGCCACACGAGGACUGAGACACGGCCCAGACUCCUACGGGAGGCAGCAGUAGGGAAUCUUCCGCAAUGGACGAAAGUCUGACGGAGCAACGCCGCGUGAGUGAUGAAGGCUUUCGGGUCGUAAAACUCUGUUGUUAGGGAAGAACAAGUGCUAGUUGAAUAAGCUGGCACCUUGACGGUACCUAACCAGAAAGCCACGGCUAACUACGUGCCAGCCGCCGCAGUAA